AGGGACGAGGCUGCAGCAGACAGAGAGCCAGGGGAAAGACACGCAGGAGCAGGGCAGAGAGCAGAAACAGACUGACAUGGCGCAGAUGCAGGACAUGGCUGGCAAUAUCACCUAUACUAAGGAAGUAGGCACAUGUCCCACAUGCUUGUUUCCUAGGACAGAACCCAAAUAUUUGAUCCUUGGACUUACGAAUUUCAUCAAGAGAAGUUAAAGUAUGAGUUACAGGAAUGUGGAGGAUGAACCGAGUUCCUGGGUUUUCGACAACUAUGUGACUGAGACAAAAUAUACAUUAGAAGAAAGUAACACGGAGUUUGGAAGGAUAGAAGACCACAGUUCACAGUACAACUAACUGGAAAUAUGGUGUCAAUGUGUCUGUUUCAGAGGAGAACCAGUCCACUUGAAUGAGGUCACUGUGACUCAAACAUUAUGCUGUAAUGUUAUCCUGAAAGAGCUUCAAUAAAUCUAACCACUCAUGAAUGUCUAGAUAACACAAAUUUGGCAAGAUCUAAAAACUAGCUAAGAUUGAUAGUGACAGUCAAAGGAGAAAGUUGUUAAAACACUGGAAACUCUCAUGGGAUGAUGUCUGUUAAUGAUUUGAAAUGAAAUAAAGUUGAUAUCCUUGGCCAUGGAA